AGAUCAUUUUAGGGAACAUUCCUUAGUAACCUCUUAUACCUCUUCCAUGCUUCAUAUAAGGGUUCCCCAAGUUGUUGCUCGAAAUUGGAUAUGGCUUUCUUGAGUUU